UACAGAGGGGGCAAGCGUUGUUCGGAAUUACUGGGCGUAAAGGGCGCGUAGGCGGCCUGCUAAGUCGAACGUGAAAUCCCCGGGCUCAACCCGGGAACUGCGUCCGAUACUGGCAGGCUUGAAUCCGGGAGAGGGAUGCGGAAUUCCAGGUGUAGCGGUGAAAUGCGUAGAUAUCAGGAGGAACACCGGUGGCGAAGGCGGCUACCUGGACAGAAACUGACGCUGAGGCGCGAAAGCUAGGGGAGCAAACAGG
rnacentral:rRNA from 1 species